ACGCCAGUGUGUGUGGAGUCAACGUUGAAAUACCACUCUGGUCGUUCUGGAUAUCUAACCUCGGUCCGUGAUCCGGAUCAGGGACAGUGCCUGGUGGGUAGUUUAACUGGGGCGGUUGCCUCCUAAAAGGUAACGGAGGCGCCCAAAGGUUCCCUCAGCCUGGUUGGCAAUCAGGUUUUGAGUGUAAGUGCACAAGGGAGCUUGACUGUGAGACAGGCAUGUCGAGCAGGGACGAAAGUCGGGACUAGUGAUCCGGCGGUGGCUUGUGGAAGCGCCGUCGCUCAACGGAUAAAAGGUACCCCGGGGAUAACAGGCUGAUCUUGCCCAAGAGUCCAUAUCGACGGCAUGGUUUGGCACCUCGAUGUCGGCUCGUCGCAUCCUGGGGCUGGAGUAGGUCCCAAGGGUUGGGCUGUUCGCCCAUUAAAGCGGUACGCGAGCUGGGUUUAGAACGUCGUGAGACAGUUCGGUCCCUAUCCGCUGUGCGCGUAGGAAACUUGAGAAGAGCUGUCCCUAGUACGAGAGGACCGGGAUGGACGAACCUCUGGUGUGUCAGUUGUUCUGCCAAGAGCACGGCUGAUUAGCUACGUUCGGAAGUGAUAACCGCUGAAAGCAUCUAAGCGGGAAGCACGCUUCAAGAUGAGGUUUCCAUGGGCUUCGGCCCGAGAGGCUCCCAGCUAGACUACUGGGUUGAUAGGCCAGACGUGGAAGCA
rnacentral:rRNA from 1 species